GUCAUCGUGUAGUUUGUUUCUUCUGUCUGCCGUGUCUUUGCCCUUCCUCGGCUCUAAACGUCCUCGCGUCUCUUUGGGCUCGAGGAGCUCGGCACGCGUCUCGGGGGCCAUCCCUAGGGUAUCGAACGCCCAUCUUCAUCGGCACGCUGCCGAUCGGGUGCUUUUUUAUUCUUGCGUUAUGAGCUUAAAGCGUGGGUAGGUCUUGGAAGUUUCCGGUCGGGAGUCUUUUGCGCAGCAUCGUCGCCGGCUGCGGCAUCAGCUCUGCUCCUUAGGCAUCCAUUUUCACGGACUGCGACGUCUCCCCUGCAUCCCUCCGUCCUAGGAUUCGGACUCCUACUUCUCAUCCACCGUCUCGGUUUUGACGGUAGCUUCGUAUAACGGGCCAUAACGCGUGACUCUUUCUGGGGCUGCCGUAUAGCCUCCUCGCCUCCCAGUUGUGGCCCUCUAGGUCUUCUCGCCUGACAUGGUAUCUUGUCUGAGAGCCCUUAUCGCUUAGAGUUUAUCUUGGAAUCAAACCUUUGGUAGCGUUUAGCGUUAGUGUAUGCGUGUGCCUGUUUGGCUCAGAGCUGCCCUGCCUGGGGGGUGUAGAGUCAGGAGUAAGUACAACGGCAGUAGAAGUCAACGGUUUAAAUGUUGAUACGCUUAGACCGCCUAGGCGACAGACGUACGGUCACCUCGUAGUAGCCAUCCAGAGGCUGUGCGGACGGUCAUUUCUAGGGCGUUUUAUGGAGACUGUUGGAGCGGUGUGGGAGCAGCUGUCCAGCAGUAGCAAAUGAGAUGGAAUCUCAAAGGUGUUAAGGCUCGCAGGCGUGGGAGCGUACGCUCUGGGGGGAGGCGCGUGGUUUUCUUUUUAACAACAGGCUGUAGUUGGAUGCCAGCUAGUAUCCCUAGGUGGAAGUGACACCUCCGGAUUUGUUAAGCCUCCGGGUGACUCGCGUAACUGUUUUGACAUGCAGAUCGGUGAGAUGCGCACCAAAGAGUGACGGGGGAGGUGAGCGGAGGGCUGUGAGAAGAUGGAGAGCCACAAGCAAAGUAGGAUUUUGGCACCGGAGGCAGCUUGGGCGAGGUGGCACGCGAGCCUUGACGUGACAACUGGAAACAGCAGCGGCAGGGCAGGUGAAGGGCCGAGUUUUUUGCAGGUGCCGCGGAUGGCCGCGGAGGGGCCGAGCCGCACGCAGACUGACAGUGUGAGAAGGUGCUUUGGGAGCCGCCUUUGGGAUGGGAUGAGCGUUUGAAGCGAGCCGGGGUAGUCGCAAGGAGGAUCGUGGGUGACUCGUUAGAAGCGCAAGGGUAACUUUGUCUCUCGGUAUCUUAGGUAACGCCAGUGACGACGGCUGCAGCAUCUGACUCUGCAAAGAGCCGGUGAGCGGAACCCCGCGACGCUUCUGAGUACAGGGGGGUGUCGUGGAAGAGGUAGGCACGGAGCAGCGCGAUGCCAACGGCCGGUUGUGUUUUCUCCCGUUGGCGUUUUCUUGCAGGUGAAGAGGAAGGCGGCAACUGCAGGAACGUGCUAGUUAGCUGCCGCGCUGCUUUUGUCGAGGAUGGAAUCGGACCUCCGGCCCUGUGAAAGCUAAGUCGACCGAACGGGGCCGCGAGGAGGGGCCGAGGUUGGGAAUUGCAGGGGAGUGUUUGAAAGUUAGCACGGGGGAGAAGGCUGUACGGGAGCGGGGCCCUCC